rnacentral:rRNA from 1 species
UACCAGCACCCCGAGUGGUCGGGACGAUUAUUGGGCCUAAAGCAUCCGGAGCCGGUUCUACAAGUCUUCCGUUAAAUCCACCUGCUUAACAGAUGGGCUGCGGAGGAUACUAUAGAGCUAGGAGGCGGGAGAGGCAAGCGGUACUUAGUGGGUAGGGGUAAAAUCCGUUGAUCCAUUGAAGACCACCAGUGGCGAAGGCGGCUUGCCAGAACGCACUCGACGGUGAGGGAUGAAAGCUGGGGGAGCAAACCGG